rnacentral:rRNA from 1 species
ACGGAAGGCAGCAGUGAGGAAUAUUGGUCAAUGGGCGGAAGCCUGAACCAGCCAAGUCGCGUGAAGGAUGAAGGUAUUAUGUAUUGCAAACUUCUUUAGCAGUGGAGUAAUAAGGGGAUCGCGAUCCCUGAUGCAAGUACACUGAGAAUAAGGAUCGGCUAACUCCGUGCCAGCAGCCGCGGUAAUACGGAGGAUCCGAGCGUUAUCCGGAUUUAUUGGGUUUAAAGGGUGCGCAGGCGGCUUUUUAAGUCAGUGGUUAAAUCGUGACGCUCAACGUCAUCACGCCAUUGAUACUGGAGAGCUUGAUUGCGGUCGAGGUUUGCGGAAUUCGUUGUGUAGCGGUGAAAUGCAUAGAUAUGACGAAGAACACCGAUUGCGUAGGCAGCAGACCAGGCCGUAAAUGACGCUCAUGCACGAAAGUGCGGGGAUCGAACAGGAUUAGAUACCCUGGUA